UCCAAACCUUGAUAAAUAUUUCCUUUGUAACUUAUCUUAGUGAAAGCUUUGUCACUAAACCACCAAGCAAGUCAGGAUGCCACUUCUACUUUUCACUGAGGAAAAUACAACCGACAUGUCAUGGAAGCUUACACGACUGCUAUUUCCAGGUGAUGUGUGUUAGGACCACCGACUGUAUAAAAAAGGUCAGGUCUGAUGAGCAAACAUGAUCCACUUUGGAAGAAUAAGUGAUUCCAACUGAUGGUUUUAGUGCAGUAUUGGAAGACCUCCACACCAACAGUCUAUCUUGUGAACCAAGACCAAGCAACAUUGUCGUGAGCACGCUAAGCUACCAUUUCAUGUGAAUUACUACAAGCGACUUCAUCCAUCCACUUACCUCAUCUCGAGAAUGGACUCAAUCUUGCUAUCUCCAUCGGACGAUCAAUUAUUCGGAGAGAAUCAUGAUGUUUCCAUCAAACCAUAUCAACAUAAGGAGCCAAAAAACCUCUCUGCCACCUCCAGUCCUGAGACCCCCCUUUCCACAAUCCUAAAGCCGUCC